rnacentral:rRNA from 1 species
ACAACUUUCAACAACGGAUCUCUUGGCUCUCGCAUCGAUGAAGAACGCAGCGAAAUGCGGUAAGUAAUGUGAAUUGCAGAAUUCAGUGGAUCAUCGAAUCUUUGAACGCAUCUUGCGCUCCUUGGUAUUCCGAGGAGCAUGCCUGUUUGAGUGUCAUUAAA